GGGAAUUUUCGUUUCUACAUGAUUUGUUGCAGGGCUUGUGGAACUAGAGAAGAGGAAUCCUGGAAGGAAAGAAAUGAUGUCAAAGCAUUGCCAUAGAACUUGCCUCAAAGAGCACUUGAAAUAUACAACUCUAAUCGAAGAAAAGGAAGGAAAGAGAUGUCAGAAUUGAGGCCUCUAAGGAAAAGGCAAUUCCAAGUAUGUACUGCAGCAAACAAAGGAGGCCAGUGCUGACUCAAGAGCCACAGGCACAAGAUUUCAGGCAAAGGUGAGAAAAGCUACCGAAGGGAGAGUUAGAGAACAAAAUAUCAGCACAUUGGGACAAACAGUAUGUGAUGCUGAGACUGGGGAAAGUUUUGACUAAUUAUGAUUGCAGCUACUGCCCCGACAGUUAACUGUGUAUAUUAGUUGAGUAAAGUAAGCCUUAUUUUACCACAUGUAGAAUUUAGCUUUUGGCAUCAUUACAGCCACAGGCAAAGCCAAAGAAGCCAUCCAGUCCAGUCCAGGAUAUUAGAACACACCCAGUAGAAACUGUCAGGGCAAAGAAAAAUUCCAGGAGGGAAAAUAACUUAUAAUCCCUAGAACAAACCAGUGGAUGAGCUAUUUAAUCAGACAACACAAGGUAAAAU
rnacentral:lncRNA from 1 species